GCUCCCCAAUCUCUCCCUCCACCCCAUCCAACCAUGGAAGCCACCCUCUUCUCCUUCCCCUCCACCAAGCCCCCUCCCCCCAAAACCUUAACGCUAACCCAAUCUAAAACCCUGACCUUAACUUAUCCUAAAUCGCUAAACCCCUACAGAAGAACCUCCUAUUCCACCACAAUCCGCUCCGCCAUCAGCCGCACCAAGAAGGAAGAAACAGUCCAAACCGUGAAAGAACAGCUCGAGAACUGCCACCUCCUUGCCGCCAUCAAGUACAACGGCUUCACCGUCCAGCAGUUCCAGGAGCUCCGGCGGUCUCUGCCGGAGAAAUCCAAGCUCAUCGUUGCCAAGAACACCCUCGUCUACAAAGCCAUCGAAGGCACCUCUUGGGCGGCUCUGGAGCCGUGUAUGAAAGGCAUGAACGUCUUCCUCUUCGUCCACAGCGAGGAAAUUCCGGCUGCCAUCA
rnacentral:lncRNA from 1 species